rnacentral:pre_miRNA from 1 species
UCUUAUAGAUGAGGAAAGAAAUUGGUUUCUUGAAAUGGAAUCUACUUUUGGUGAAGAUGCUAUGAA